GAUGAAGAACGCAGCGAAAUGCGAUAAGUAAUGUGAAUUGCAGAAUUCAGUGAAUCAUCGAAUCUUUGAACGCACAUUGCGCCCCCUGGUAUUCCGGGGGGCAUGCCUGUUCGAGCGUCAUUUCACCACUCAAGCCUCGCUUGGUAUUGGGCAACGCGGUCCGCCGCGUGCCUCAAAUCGACCGGCUGGGUCUUCUGUCCCCUAAGCGUUGUGGAAACUUUCGCUAAAGGGUGUUCGGGAGGCUACGCCGUAAAACAACCCCAUGUCUAAGGUUGACCUCGGAUCAGGUAGGGAUACCCGCUGAACUUAAGCAUAUCAAUAAGCGGAGGA
rnacentral:misc_RNA from 1 species